CCUACGGGUGGCAGCAGUGGGGGAUAUUGCACAAUGGGGGAAACCCUGAUCCAGCGACGCCGCGUGGGCGAAGAAGUAUUUCGGUAUGUAAAGCCCUAUCAGCAGGGAAGAAGAAAUGACGGUACCUGAGUAAGAAGCACCGGCUAAAUACGUGCCAGCAGCCGCGGUAAUACGGAGGGUGCAGGCGUUAUCCGGAUUUACAGGGUGCAAAGGGAGCGCAGGCGGUACGGCAAGCCUGAUGUGAAAGCCCGCGGCCCAACCGCGGGACUGCAGUGGAAACUACCGGGCUGGAGUGCAGGAGAGGUAGGCGGAAUUCGUAGUGUAGCGGUGAAAUGCGUAGAUAUUAGGAGGAACACCAGUGGCGAAGGCGGCCUACUAGACGGUGACUGACGCUGAGGCUCGAAAGCGUGGGGAGCAAACAGGAUUAGAUACCCUUGUAGUC
rnacentral:rRNA from 1 species